GAAGGGGUGUAUUUAUUAGAUAAAAAACCAAUGCCCUUCGGGGCUCUUUGGUGAUUCAUGAUAACUUAACGGAUCGCAUGGCCUUGCGCCGGCGACGGUUCAUUCAAAUUUCUGCCCUAUCAACUUUCGAUGGUAAGGUAUUGGCUUACCAUGGUUUCAACGGGUAACGGGGAAUUAGGGUUCGAUUCCGGAGAGGGAGCCUGAGAAACGGCUACCACAUCCAAGGAAGGCAGCAGGCGCGCAAAUUACCCAAUCCCGACACGGGGAGGUAGUGACAAUAAAUACUGAUACAGGGCUCUUUUGGGUCUUGUAAUCGGAAUGAGUACAAUUUAAACCCCUUAACGAGGAACAAUUGGAGGGCAAGUCUGGUGCCAGCAGCCGCGGUAAUUCCAGCUCCAAUAGCGUAUAUUAAAGUUGUUGCAGUUAAAAAGCUCGUAGUUGAACCUUGGGCUGGCUGGCCGGUCCGCCUCACCGCGUGUACUGGUCCGGCCGGGCCUUUCCUUCUGGAGACCGCAUGCCCUUUCCUGGGUGUGUCGGGGAACCAGGACUUUUACUUUGAAAAAAUU
rnacentral:rRNA from 1 species